ensembl:lncRNA
CCCCCUGCCCUGCCUCCCCCUCCCACAAGCUUCAGGACCAUGUCUAUAUGCCUAGGGUGGACCGAGCUUGGGGGAGGGGAUGAGAAAUAGUCCCUGCCCAGUGCCUCAACAACCAAGAUGCGGGGGGUCCCGUCCUGUCCAGCGUGGCUCACUGGCCGUCUGCACUCUGGCCCCGGCAUCCGUCUCUGCUGGCUCUGAGUCCGUUCCUCUCUAGGCCGGCCGGUCUGGCUUGCCCGACAGCUGAGGUCCUCGGGGGUCAGCAGGGCAGGGGUCCCUGUCAGCCCUGGCAGAGGGAGGCCCUCAGGAGAAGAGGCAGGAGCUCAACUCCACGCAAAUGGCCUUCCAGCCUGAGAGCCCCAGCUUCAGCCACCCCCAGAGAGCCUGGUUCCAGGCCGGGGCUGGCCUGCUAUCUGCGCUUCCGGGCCGUCCUGUGGGUGCUGAGGCCGCGGGUCCUGGGCCCCCAUGUUGAGGACUGCUGAGUGUCCAGCAGGGAGGAGCCUCCAUGGGCGCUGGCGAGCCCUCCCAGGGCUGGGGCUGCAAGCAGACCGUGUUCCGUCGUGGCCGCGCGACGCCAUUUGCAGGUUGAUUUUCCUGAGUGAUACAGUGACACGCUGUGGGAUUUAAUGGCCUCCAGGCCCCUUUACAGCAGCAACUGUGGUCUCACCAGCCGUGCCAGCCGCAACUGUCUGCGUGGGGCUCCCACGAAGCUGCCACCAGGAAAUGUGGCAGCGGCUUCAGAGCCAAGAGGCCUGGGUUCGGGUUCUGCCGCUGUCCUGAGUCACGCGGCCACAACAGAGAGGACACAGCACAUCGAUGAAGCCUGUUUCAAGCCUGACUUCCCUUCCUGCCGAGUGCUUGGCCCACAGCCCAGGAACGUCUACCAGAUACAGCCUGACUCCCGGGUUGGAAGGGGCUCUUCCAUCGACUCCGCACCCUUGGGGGUGCAAGGUGUGUGUGUGCGUGUGUGUGUGUGAGUCCCUGUGUACGCAGUCGUGCACGCUCAACCAGGAGACAAGAUUUUAGCUCUUUUGAGGCUCCUGACGUGACACCUGCAGCCAGGUGAGAAUGUAGCAAACACGGCAUGAAAGGAAAGCAAAGUGCAUUUCUCAGGAGCUGAAGGGAGGGGCGACUGUGUCUGCAAAUGUCAGGUUCGUUUCAUGUUUGCGUCGAAGACGUGUUCAACUCUGGUGCAGACGGCUGGCACCAGACCAGGCGUGAUGCCCUAGGCUGAAAUCGGGGAGAGCUUACAGGAUCAGACAGACACGCUUCUCUUUAGCGGGUGCGGGGUUUCUGCUGGGCAGUGCACUAUUGCGCCGUUAACCCACACUCGUCCAGGAAGGACCCAUCCUUUCUGUGGUCAUGAAAGCCGCAGUUACUCACUCGGACAAGAUACAGGCCGAGUCCGCUGCUCCUCUGGCUGAGGCUGCUGCUGGGGUUUGCGGAUCGAGUCUGAAAUCUUGUUUCAUGCUCCGUGCAUAGUUUUGCUUCUUUCCAAUGACUCCAUUCUCUCGGCACUUUUUAUGCUCAGAACCAAGUGGCAAACAAUAGUCUUGAGCUAAUGAAAGCGUCCGUGGAGCUAUGGAUGAACUCCCAGAUUGGAGCUGGGUGGCGUGUAUGACACAGGCGUCCAGAAACUCCGUAUGGGGAGGCACUGCGGGGCUACCUCCUUUGGGGCAGCCACUGUCCCCACGUCUACUGCCCAGGAGUAGCAGCCGAGUGGGCUGCCCAUUCAGGAGCUAACGACCCAAAUUCACAUCGGCCUGUGUUCAUGGGGAUCAUCGUGAUUUUGCAUGUGGUACACCUGUCCGGAGCACGACACAGGCUGUCCACACAUGCCAGACAGUCUUACCAGAGCUCUGUAAUCUGGAAAAGGGCACACUCUGUGGGACAGAGAAGCGUGGAGAUCCGGACCAGUGCUUACCAGGUUGUUGUUUAAAUGUAAAAGUACGUGGUACAAAUGGCUCAGUGACUGUUGUAACUAAUAUUCCAUGUGUCAGACUGCAUUUGUACCCUCGCCAUGUUCCUGAAAGCCCACAUGGAGCUGGGAUGCCAGCUUCUCUCUGUAGAGAUCGCUGUUGCUAGUCAGGUAUCCUAGACACCUUCUUUUCAUCUGAUUACAAAAUCCAGCAUUUCAGGAAUGGGCUUUUGCCCCCCCCCCCAAAAAAAAAAGAAGGAAAGAAAAAAGAAAAAAGUGACUAGGAGCAUUUGUCACUGAUUCCUGCUAGUCCAGUGAGCAUCUGAAGAAUUCAGGUGUCUUAAAAUCACAUGCUUUUUCUAAAUCCUAGAGUAUACCUUUUAUGCUAAACCAGCAGGCUGCACUGAAUUUCCUGGAAAUAUCUGGGCUCUGUUACUGCAAACUCCUCCAACAGGGGACGUCUGCGUGUCAAUGCCACUCUCUCUCAUGGAACAAGAGGAGGGACCAGAAGUUGUCAGAAAUGUUUAUUGUGUAACCAAGAUGUGGACAUGUGUUAUCAACACAAUCACAUGUGUACACAAUACCCAGAACAACACGGAUGUUUUCGUUUGUCUACAUUAGAAAUCCAUGUGAAUUGCAGCUCCCUGGUUGACACGGAUGUGUGAGUGCGUGCACCUCAUUUCCACCUUCCACAGUCUGGAGUCCCAGCUGCUGAAGGACUGUGGCUCUUCCUUCAAGUGCUCAGCUCUUGCAGAACCCGUAGCCUUCAGGACACCCCGCGUGCCUUACACGGCUUGUCAACACUGCACUGGAUGUCAGGAAGGAGGGUGUGCCGGGAGCGGGUUUGGAGGCAUCGUGACGUCAGUCCACAUGUACCAUCACCCUAUCACUGAAACCUUAAGAUGGAUUGUGUGUUUUAACACAGUAACGGAUUUACAUUUAGGCUCAGGAAAACCAAGCUGUAAAUAUAUGUAUCAAAUCAUAUAUUUGUUUACUGUAUUUUAAAGAGCUUUAUUGUAAAUGUAUGCAACAAUGAAUUAGGACUCUUUACCAUGACAAUACGCCAGGCAGUAUCUGUGUUCUCUGAAGCAGCUCCUUACUAACCACAUUCUAACCAUGUGAUAUUCUGUCCAGUGCUAAACAGUAUUCACAGGCCUAAAAUAGGUUUGUACGGUGGUCAACGACAAAAUUUUGCACAUAUUUUUGUAUUGUGAUUCCUAUGAUAUAUACCAGAGGAUUUUUACUCAUUUGUAAAUUAUUGUACAGUUUUAAUAAAAAAUGUUUUAAAUCUUAGAAUAUCA